rnacentral:rRNA from 1 species
AGAGUUUGAUCAUGGCUCAGAUUGAACGCUGGCGGCAUGCCUUACACAUGCAAGUCGAACGGUAGAGUAGCAAUACUUGAGAGUGGCGAACGGGUGAGUAAUAUAUCGGAACGUGCCCAACUGUGGGGGAUAACGUAGAGAAAUUUACGCUAAUACCGCAUACGAUCUAAGGAUGAAAGCGGGGGAUCGCAAGACCUCGCGCGAUUGGAGCGGCCGAUAUCAGAUUAGGUAGUUGGUGAGGUAAAGGCUCACCAAGCCGACGAUCUGUAGCUGGUCUGAGAGGACGACCAGCCACACUGGGACUGAGACACGGCCCAGACUCCUACGGGAGGCAGCAGUGGGAAUUUUGGACAAUGGAUGCAAGUCUGAACCAGCCAUGCCGCGUGCAGGAAGAAGGCCUUCUGGGUUGUAAACUGCUUUUGCCAGGGGAUAAAAUUUCCAUGCGUGGAAAACUGAAGGUACCUGGUGAAUAAGCCACGGCUAACUACGUG